AUAUGUGUAACGACAUGCCCAGAGUAUAAAUUAAUUUGGUUAAAAUAUAAUGUUCGUGCUACCGAUAAAGCUCAAAUCGGCACGAUUGAUGUUUGAUAAUUGAUUAAAGAGAAAUUUUAACCCCCAGUCAAAAAUUGCAUAUCGCAGUUGAGAGAGAGAGAGAGAGAGAGAGAGAGAGAGAGGGAGAGAGAGAGAGAGAGAUUAUGGCUAGGAAGCGAACAAACGCGCUGGGAAUAGGAGCAGUAUACUCUCCAGGACCAUUACAGUGAAUACCUAAUAAACGAUGAGACUCGGGAAAAGGCAGAGGCGGAAUGGCAAAAUAUUGAAAUAGCCAACUGAAAUGUACACGACUUAUUUCAUUGUGCAGCACAAACGGUUUCCAGACGAUCGUUAGAAACAUGGGAAUACUUCAUAGUAUUAUACUAUACUGGAAUAUUAUAUACUGUAUACGAUAGAUUAUAUCUUACACAUUGUGGAGCACUGACUAUAGACGCUCAUGAUAAGUAUGAUUCUUAUGCCUGAAUCUGUAUGGAAUCAUUGUCACCUUCAUUGUUCUAAGCUAUUACAGUAGGAGUAAGGAUACAAUUCAAUGGGUGUCAAGCGGAACUUCACGUGUUCCUUGAGGCGUGUGGUUGUCAUGACGAUAUGGAUCGGGCUCGGUUGUCUGGCCAUCAGCGUGUUUCGCGCCCCUUCCGAAUACGACAUGUCACGUGACCCAUCCAGAUCGCAGCUCCUCCCACUUCUAAGGGCCGACGUCGGCAGGCAGAUGAACAUGCACCCUGAUACCACACCCAAUAAAUCAUCUCGAGACAA